UACGUAGGGGGCAAGCGUUGUCCGGAAUCAUUGGGCGUAAAGAGCGUGUAGGCGGUCCGGUAAGUCGGUUGUGAAAGUCCAGGGCUCAACCCUGGGAUGCCGACCGAUACUGUCGGACUAGAGUUCGGAAGAGGCGAGUGGAAUUCCCGGUGUAGCGGUGAAAUGCGCAGAUAUCAGGAGGAACACCGGUGGCGAAGGCGGGUCUCUGGGCAAUAACUGACGCUGGAGGAGCGAAAAGCGUGGGGAGCGAACAGG
rnacentral:rRNA from 1 species